AUACGGAGGGUGCAAGCGUUAAUCGGAAUUACUGGGCGUAAAGCGCGCGUAGGCGGUUUGAUCAGUCGGAUGUGAAAGCCCUGGGCUCAACCUGGGAACUGCAUUCGAUACUGUCAGACUAGAAUAUGGUAGAGGGUAGUGGAAAUCCUGGUGUAGCGGUGAAAUGCGUAGAUAUCAGGAGGAACAUCAGUGGCGAAGGCGGCUACCUGGACCAAUAUUGACGCUGAGGUGCGAUAGCGUGGGGAGCAAACAGGAUUAGAUACCCUAGUAGUCC
rnacentral:rRNA from 1 species